UACGUAGGGCGCAAGCGUUGUCCGGAAUUAUUGGGCGUAAAGAGCUCGUAGGCGGUUUGUCGCGUCGGAUGUGAAAGCCCGGGGCUUAACCCCGGGUCUGCAUUCGAUACGGGCAGACUAGAGUGUGGUAGGGGAGAUCGGAAUUCCUGGUGUAGCGGUGAAAUGCGUAGAUAUCGGGAGGAACACCAGUGGCGAAGGCGGCUAUCUGGGCUGAAACUGACGCUGAGGCGCGAAGGCUAGGGGAGCAAACAGG
rnacentral:rRNA from 1 species